GGCGAGUGAACAGGGAAAAGCCCAGCACCGAAGCCUGUGGCCGUUUGGUUACUAGGCAAUGUGGUGUUUAGGUCGUUCCGCAGAGGUUCUGCUCCACCCCAAGUCCAGCAAUGAGUACGGUAGUACAGACAUGGCCCACAGAGGGUGAAAGGCCCGUGGGGGUGGAGAUUCGGCAGGACAGAGCCUCUCUGGGUAGACCUUGGAGUCGGGUUGUUUGAGAAUGCAGCCCAAAGUGGGUGGUAAACUCCAUCCAAGGCUAAAUACUAGCACGAGUCCGAUAGCGAACAAGUACCGUGAGGGAAAGUUGAAAAGUACUUUGAAGAGAGAGUAAACAGUGCGUGAAACCGCUCAGAGGUAAACAGGUGGAGUUGAACUGCAAGCUCUGAGAAUUCAGCUGAUGAGUGUGGUUUGAGCUUGGUCAAAUUGGUUGGACUUCGGGGUCUGCGUAGCAGCAGGUCUUUGCCUUCGGGUAGAGAUGCGCGUUGCACUUAUCAAGUGCUGUGCGCCCUGUUUGUUCUUCGGCCUGCUUGUCAGUGCACUUUCUCAGAGUAGUCACCACGACCGGCACUGCCGUCAGGCUGCUUUGGUUAAACCGUUCUCGUAUCGCCUACGGGCUUUACUUGAUCGGGAUGGCAGGUAGCUCGUUGACUUGUUUGUGGCUUGCUGCAAACGUCCGGUCUUCGAGUGUAAUCAGCUGACCCUAGUAGUUCUGUGCGGUGUGUCGGAGACGGCGGCUUGUGGUGUGUGCAUGCGUGCCUAUCCUGCGGACCUGUCCGAGUUUGGUUGUCAUGUUGCCUGUUCAAGCAGGCCUGAUGAUGGCUCGGGUUUGUUCUGUGGGUGGUUGCGUGUGUGACACUAAACCAAGGGCCUACAGUCUGUGGUGUAGUGGUAGACGAUCCACCUGACCCGUCUUGAAACACGGACCAAGGAGAGUAACAUGUACGCGAGUCAUUGGGCGUUACGAAACCCAAAGGCGCAGUGAAAGUGAAGGUCUGACUCGUUCAGACUGAGGUGAGAUCCUGUCGUUUCCCACGCGCGGUACUACCAAGCAUCGAGCGGCAGGCGCAUCACCGGCCCGUCCCAUGGCAGUUGUUUUCGGACAGUUUUCAGUCGGGGCGGAGCAUGAGCGUACAUGUUGAGACCCGAAAGAUGGUGAACUAUGCUUGCGCAGGUUGAAGCCAGAGGAAACUCUGGUGGAGGACCGCAGCGAUUCUGACGUGCAAAUCGAUCGUCAAACGUGAGUAUAGGGGCG
rnacentral:rRNA from 1 species